rnacentral:rRNA from 1 species
AUGACCAAGUGGGAUCCCACCUACCCACGCUCCAAGCAGCGGUCAACCCCGCCCUGCCGCAGCCUCGCGCUGCGCCGCAAGCGCUCGUCCCGCCGCAUCGCGUCGGGGCUCUCCGCCAGAGACUCCAGCGCGUCCGGGGCAGAUCUGGAGCUGGCGGUGCCCAAGCGGCGGCGCAGCAUCGGCGGGUCCACGAACUAGAGGGCCGGGCUGCUGCUGCCGACCACCACCACAGCCUCCUCCUCCUCCGCGUGGAAGGGCAAUGGCGGCCACGCGCGUGCGAAGCGGGGCGAGCGGCUCGACAAGGCCGGCGUCGCGCACUUCCUCGUCGCGCUGGAGCAGGUAAGCUAA